rnacentral:rRNA from 1 species
AUGAUCAGAGCAACGACGGGCGCUCUGAUGGGGGUGAUGACCCCCGUUCUUGGCAAGCUCACUGCUCUACUCAAGGAGUAUGACAGACUCAAAGGCCUCCAUCCUCGGAUCACCUCUCUGAGAGAUGAGCUGCGCAGCAUAAAGGCUGCCUUGGAGGAUCUCUCACAGCUGGAGGAACCCAGCUUGCAAGUGAAGGAGUGGAUGAGUCAACUGCGGGAGCUGUCCUACGACAUUGAGGACUGCAUCGACGACUUCGUGCAUGGCCCUGUCCAGGACGAUGCCCAUGAUGGCCUUACAAGUAAGAUUGCUGGCUGGCUCAGGAUGAUCCAGCAUUACCACCAAAUAGGUGGCAACGUUGAUAAGCUCAAGGAGCGCGCUCUAGAGGUUAAUGAUCGGCGUAAGAGGCUCAAGCUGGAUGUUGCGCCCUCUUCUUCUAGUGCCAUGGCAUUUGAUCCUAGGUUGUCGGCCCUCUUUGAGGAGGCUGACAGGAUCAUAGGAAUUGAUGGUCCAAGAGAUGAGCUCGUCAAUGUGCUCACUGGUGAAACAGAUUUAGUACAGGAACGUCGUGUCAUUUCUAUCAUUGGCGCCGGAGGCAUUGGCAAGACAACCCUUGCCAAUCAGGUAUACACGGAAGUCAAAAGUAAAUUCUUGAUGGAAGCAACACAGAGUCAGUUGGUGACAGUCAACACAUCAAGGAAGACCUCAGUUCGUUAA